AAAAAGGGAGGCACCGCAACAGGGUGCAAAGCUCAUGGCGUCUGAAGUGUUCCAUUUUCUUUUGAUAAGGAGGAUAACCCCCGGCCUCUGCAUCAAGCGAUGCACACAGCCAUCCAUGGAGGCAGGAAUCUUCUCUUUUCUGUGUGGCUGUAUUGUAUUGGUAUUGCUCUUCUCUUUUCUAUCUCUUGCGCGCCGUGUCUCUACUACGUCUUAUGUACCGGCUGGUUCAUCAUUAUCUGCUACUGAUGUACAGAAUGAACAACUUUGCUUCCAGAAUUGCAGAAUUCUGGAACCAUGGCAAUUCAGGUUACGCUGAGACUCGGAAUCUUCCUUCGAGACUUACACCAAAGUGAACAAGCUAUCUAUAGUAAGUGAAAGAUUUUUUUUUUCUUUCUGAAUCUAUUGUGCCUUAAUUGGUUUUUUUUUAGUCUAAACACACUCUAUUGUGCCUUAAUUGGUGAAGUCUGAUUUUUAUAUUCUCCUCUAAUGGCAGCUGCAAUUUGACAAGCAAAUUUCAUCAGUAAUGAUGUACUAGUAUUAGUAUUGUUCUUUCUCUAUAGAAAUACGGGCAAUGUUAUUUACCAACUGAACUUUACAAAACACAAACAAAAAAGAGCCCCCGAUCAAUGAUCAAUUCGGCACUGGAUUUAAACUGACACCAUAAAUUUGACGUGUCUGCAUAAUAUGGGG
rnacentral:lncRNA from 1 species